rnacentral:rRNA from 1 species
GACGAACGCUGGCGGCGUGCUUAACACAUGCAAGUCGAGCGGUAAGGCCCUUUCGGGGGUACACGAGCGGCGAACGGGUGAGUAACACGUGGGUGACCUGCCCUCAGCUCUGGGAUAAGCCCGGGAAACUGGGUCUAAUACCGGAUAUGACUUCAUGACGCAUGUUGUGGAGUGGAAAGCCUUGUGCGGCUGAGGAUGGGCCCGCGGCCUAUCAGCUUGUUGGUGGGGUGANGGCCUACCAAGGCGACGACGGGUAGCCGGCCUGAGAGGGCGACCGGCCACACUGGGACUGAGACACGGCCCAGACUCCUACGGGAGGCAGCAGUGGGGAAUCUUGCGCAAUGGGCGAAAGCCUGACGCAGCGACGCCGCGUGAGGGAUGACGGCCCUCGGGUUGUAAACCUCUUUCAGCUCCGACGAAGCGGAAGUGACGGUAGGAGCAGAAGAAGCACCGGCCAACUACGUGCCAGCCGCCGCUGUAAU